GAAACUUAAAGGAAUUGACGGAAGGGCACCACCAGGAGUGGAGCCUGCGGCUUAAUUUGACUCAACACGGGAAACCUCACCAGGCCCGGACACCAGAAGGAUUGACAGAUUAAGAGCUCUUUCUCGAUUUGGUGGGUGGUGGUGCAUGGCCGUUCUUAGUUGGUGGAGUGAUUUGUCUGGUUAAUUCCGGUAACGAACGAGACUCUGGCCUACUAAAUAGUCGACGGGCGUUUUGGUGCAUGGGCCCCGUUCGACACAGUCUUCUUAGAGGGAUGAGCAGCGAGUAUAGCUGCAGGAGAUUGAGCAAUAACAGGUCUGUGAUGCCCUUAGAUGUCCUGGGCCGCACGCGCGCUACACUGAAUGGGUUAGCGGGUUGUCCUUCUCCGAGAGGAGCGGGAAAUCGCUUGAAAACCAUUCGUGAUAGGGAUUGGGGCUUGCAAUUGUUUCCCAUGAACGAGGAAUUCCCAGUAAGCACAAGUCAUCAGCUUGUGUUGAUUAAGUCCCUGCCCUUUGUACACACCGCCCGUCGCUACUACCGAUUGAAUGAUUUAGUGAGGCCUUCGGACUGGCGGUCUUGGACUGGGGCGCCGGCGUUCUCCAGCAAUGGGGUGCCGGCGACCCGCCUAGACGGGCCGGAAAGAUGUCCAAACUUGAUCAUUAGAGGAA
rnacentral:rRNA from 1 species